rnacentral:rRNA from 1 species
GUCCACGCCCUAAACGAUGAUGACUAGUUGUUGGGGGUUAAAGUCCCUUAGUAACGCAGCUAACGCGUGAAGUCAUCCGCCUGGGGAGUACGGUCGCAAGAUUAAAACUCAAAGGAAUUGACGGGGCCCGCACAAGCGGUGGAUGAUGUGGUUUAAUUCGAUGCAACGCGAAAACCUUACCUACCCUUGACAUGCUAGGAACCUCGCAGAGAUGUGAGGGUGCCCGAAAGGGAACCUAGACACAGGUGCUGCAUGGCUGUCGU